GGUUCAGGACGAACGCUGGCGGUAUGCUUAACACAUGCAAGUCGAACGAGACGAGAUGGAAGGAUCCUUCGGGUGACGGAAAUCUUAGAAAGUGGCGAACGGGUGAGUAACGCGUGGGUAACCUGCCCUAUGGAAAGGAAUAGCCUCGGGAAACUGGGAGUAAUGCCUUAUAAUACAUUGAAGUCGCAUGGCUUUGAUGUUAAACGCUCCGGUGCCAUAGGAUGGACCCGCGUCCCAUUAGCUAGUUGGUGAGAUAACAGCCCACCAAGGCGACGAUGGGUAACCGGUCUGAGAGGGCGAACGGUCACACUGGAACUGAGACACGGUCCAGACUCCUACGGGAGGCAGCAGUGGGGAAUAUUGCGCCAAUGGGGGAAACCCUGACGCAGCAAUACCGCGUGAGUGAAGAAGGUUUUCGGAUCGUAAAGCUCUGUUAUUGGGGAAGAAAAAAGACGGUACCCGAGAAGAAAGUCCCGGCUAACUACGUGCCAGCCGCCGC
rnacentral:rRNA from 1 species